GAAUGUGAGGCUGACCUAGCUGAAACCCCUGAUCACUAGGGUUGAUCUGGUUGAUCUGGCUGGCUAGACAGGUGCCCCCCACCCCCUCCCCCCCGCUCACACUCUCCGUUUGUGUGCUCUCUGAAGCUGUGCACUUGGCAGAAGAGGACUACCUCCCCAGAUUGAGAACGUUCUUCAGUCAAGGUACAUGAGUAUUGUAGGUUGGAGGUUCCCAAGUUAGAACCUCCCAACAAACUCUCAAAAUGGGCUUAAACUAACAUUGGUUUCCAAAAAGAAAACAAAGCAAAAUACAAGAAAUGCCUUU
rnacentral:snRNA from 1 species